UACGUAGGUGGCAAGCGUUAUCCGGAUUUACUGGGUGUAAAGGGCGUGUAGGCGGGAAAGCAAGUCAGAUGUGAAAACCAUGGGCUCAACCUGUGGCCUGCAUUUGAAACUGUUUUUCUUGAGUACUGGAGAGGCAGACGGAAUUCCUAGUGUAGCGGUGAAAUGCGUAGAUAUUAGGAGGAACACCAGUGGCGAAGGCGGUCCGCUGGACAGCAACUGACGCUGAGGCGCGAAAGCGUGGGGAGCAAACAGG
rnacentral:rRNA from 1 species